AUGUUAUUCACUCCGUCCAACAAAAGAUGUCUUAAUUUUAUCAAAAUUUGAAUGUAUCUAAACAUAAUUUAGUGUAUAGAGCAUUCAAAUUUAAUCAAAAUUGAGACAUCUUUUUUGUUAGACGGAGAAAGUACGUU
rnacentral:pre_miRNA from 1 species